GGGCCCGCACAAGCAGUGGAGUAUGUGGUUUAAUUCGAAGCAACGCGAAGAACCUUACCAGGGCUUGACAUCCCUCUGACAGGUAUAGAGAUAUACCCUCUCUUCGGAGCGGAGGAGACAGGUGGUGCAUGGUUGUCGUCAGCUCGUGUCGUGAGAUGUUGGGUUAAGUCCCGCAACGAGCGCAACCCUUGUCGUUAGUUGCCAGCACGUGAAGGUGGGAACUCUAGCGAGACUGCCGGUGACAAAUCGGAGGAAGGUGGGGACGACGUCAAAUCAUCAUGCCCCUUAUGUCCUGGGCUACACACGUACUACAAUGGCGGCUACAAAGGGAAGCAAAGCCGCGAGGCAGAGCAAAUCCCCAAAAGUCGUCCCAGUUCGGAUUGCAGGCUGCAACUCGCCUGCAUGAAGUCGGAAUUGCUAGUAAUGGCAGGUCAGCAUACUGCCGUGAAUACGUUCCCGGGCCUU
rnacentral:rRNA from 1 species